UACGGAGGGUGCAAGCGUUGUCCGGAUUUAUUGGGGUUAAAGGGUGCGUAGGCGGCUUUUUAAGUCAGUGGUGAAAUACAGCAGCUCAACUGUUGAGGUGCCAUUGAUACUGAAGAGCUUGAGUACAGAUGAGGUAGGCGGAAUUUAUGGUGUAGCGGUGAAAUGCAUAGAUACCAUAAAGAACACCGAUUGCGAAGGCAGCUUACUAAGCUGUAACUGACGCUGAGGCACGAAAGCGCGGGGAGCGAACAGG
rnacentral:rRNA from 1 species